GAUGAACGCUGGCGGCGUGCCUAAUACAUGCAAGUCGAGCGAACGGACGAGGAGCUUGCUCCUUUGACGUUAGCGGCGGACGGGUGAGUAACACGUGGAUAACCUACCUAUAAGACUGGGAUAACUUCGGGAAACCGGAGCUAAUACCGGAUAAUAUAUUGAACCGCAUGGUUCAAUAGUGAAAGACGGUUUUGCUGUCACUUGUAGAUGGAUCCGCGCCGCAUUAGCUAGUUGGUAAGGUAACGGCUUACCAAGGCAACGAUGCGUAGCCGACCUGAGAGGGUGAUCGGCCACACUGGAACUGAGACACGGUCCAGACUCCUACGGGAGGCAGCAGUAGGGAAUCUUCCGCAAUGGGCGAAAGCCUGACGGAGCAACGCCGCGUGAGUGAUGAAGGUCUUCGGAUCGUAAAACUCUGUUAUUAGGGAAGAACAAAUGUGUAAGUAACUAUGCACGUCUUGACGGUACCUAAUCAGAAAGCCACGGCUAACUACGUG
rnacentral:rRNA from 1 species